rnacentral:lncRNA from 1 species
GCAGAAACCGAGUUUCACUGUGUCUGGAGGAACAAGGAAUGCAAAGAUUCUAGGGAUACAAUGGUGAACAGGUGAAUGGAAUGGUGAAGUCAAGUCCUGGAGAUGACUGGUGGUAACACUAUAUCUUCAAUGCUUCACUGCCGAAGGGAAUUCAGAC